AACGAACGCUGGCGGCAGGCUUAACACAUGCAAGUCGAGCGCCCCGCAAGGGGAGCGGCAGACGGGUGAGUAACGCGUGGGAAUCUACCCAGUGGUACGGAACAACCCAGGGAAACUUGGGCUAAUACCGUAUAAGUCCUUCGGGAGAAAGAUUUAUCGCCAUUGGAUGAGCCCGCGUCGGAUUAGCUAGUUGGUGGGGUAAUGGCCUACCAAGGCGACGAUCCGUAGCUGGUCUGAGAGGAUGAUCAGCCACACUGGGACUGAGACACGGCCCAGACUCCUACGGGAGGCAGCAGUGGGGAAUAUUGGACAAUGGGCGCAAGCCUGAUCCAGCCAUGCCGCGUGAGUGAUGAAGGCCUUAGGGUUGUAAAGCUCUUUCGGCGGGGAAGAUAAUGACGGUACCCGCAGAAGAAGCCCCGGCUAACUUCGUGCCAGCCGCCGCCGUAAAAC
rnacentral:rRNA from 1 species